rfam:Soboliphyme baturini genome assembly, scaffold: SBAD_scaffold0011198
UCCCGUGUGGUCUAGUGGUUAGGAUAUGCGGCUCUCACCUGCAUGGCCUGGGUUCGAUUCCCGGCACGGGAA